UCCAAAAUACUUUGCACAACAUAUACAUUAACCAUGAAAACGGGAGUUACCCAUGAUAUACACUAUUGUGUUCUAUGUUGGUAGGUCUAAUAAACAGAUACAUUGUAUACAUUGAUAAUAUUAUUUUGUCAGAAAUUCAAGCCGUUGAUACAGUUGUGUACUCUAUCGCCCGCCCUGCUGCUCGUGCUCUAUCUGAACUACAUUAUGCAUAUUAUUCUAAUGAUUGAAGUGUAUCAAGCUAUUAAGCUGACUUAAAAACAUAUUUAUGAUUUAGUUAAUUCAGAAGCUGAAUAUAAAAAGUGUGGCUUCUUACAUAGAAAUGGGUCAGGCCUCUUGCUCAAUAGCACAAAGCCGAUCAUUCACUCUAUGUUCUUACUGGUUCUAGACUAUGUUGAAAUAAUCUAAAUGAAUGCAGCGACCCCUUCAUUAAAAACUAUUGAUGCAUUUGACCGUAGAGGUAAAUCAGCUCCGUAGAGGGAAAAUGAUAAUACAAGCGGAACUACGUAGCUAAUACUGUUGUAACUGGGGAUCCUUAUUGUAGCAACACACUUUUGUAGGGAAGGCAAUCCUGCGCUGCGUUAGCUAAGUUUUCAUGUCAUCGGGUGUAGUUCAUAAAGGUUGAAGAGUGUAUGUUAGGAUGAAGUGUGAAUUCAUGCCAGGAAUAAUAAGUGUGAAGUUUGAUUUCCUCCCUUCUGUAAUAAGCAGCCAAUGAGUUCUCACUGAAGGGGAUAAUUCUCACUGAAACUACAGAAUAAAGCCGCCAGUUAAAAUCAUGGAACGGUUGUGCUCGUGGUUACUGAAGGGAGCUACAAGACCAUUAUUCGUUUCGAAUUCACCAACUCAAAGACGCUUGCCCGCUCCAUCAUAACUCCGUAAGUUUUCCCUCCCUGUGUAGAUCAAACGUCCUGCCUGUAAAUCCUGGGUAUGCCCACAUCAUUAAUGAAUAAGAUGUGUAGAAAACUGUUUAGCCAUAGUUAAAGGCCUUUCAUAAAGAGCCUGUCAUGAUUGCAUGUCCCUUAUGUUUAACACGUAUUGCUUGUUACAGAAUACUACUGUUGUACAUUUAAUAUCCCCUAGCAGAUUUCGUUGCCUUUGCACAAAUUCUGUCAUGUUACUGUGGUCUUUUUAAAAGUCAAUAAAAAUGUGUGUAAAGUGGC